AGUGAACGCUGGCGGUAGGCCUAACACAUGCAAGUCGAACGGCAGCACAGUAAGAGCUUGCUCUUACGGGUGGCGAGUGGCGGACGGGUGAGGAAUACAUCGGAAUCUACUUUUUCGUGGGGGAUAACGUAGGGAAACUUACGCUAAUCCCGCAUACGACCUACGGGUGAAAGCAGGGGAUCUUCGGACCUUGCGCGAUUGAAUGAGCCGAUGUCGGAUUAGCUAGUUGGCGGGGUAAAGGCCCACCAAGGCGACGAUCCGUAGCUGGUCUGAGGGGAUGAUCAGCCACACUGGAACUGAGACACGGUCCAGACUCCUACGGGAGGCAGCAGUGGGGAAUAUUGGACAAUGGGCGCAAGCCUGAUCCAGCCAUACCGCGUGGGUGAAGAAGGCCUUCGGGUUGUAAAGCCCUUUUGUUGGGAAAGAAAAGCAGCAGGUUAAUACCCCGCUGUUCUGACGGUACCCAAAGAAUAAGCACCGGCUAACUUCGUG
rnacentral:rRNA from 1 species